CGGGGCCUGACAUUCUGCACGGCUGGCCGGCUCCGGGCGCUGCUGAUGCUGCUGGUUCCUGGACCACCCUUGAGACCCUGGAUGACCUCUGAGGUGCUACCUCCUUGCAAAAACCCUCAGCUCUUGGGACCUCUCCCUGCGCUUCCAAAGCCCUUUCAGAUAUUUUCCUGUAGCCCUCACAAAGAGCUUGGGGUUGCGGUUUCUGCCGCUGUUGACUCUCACGUGGGGUCGUCAUAUCAGGGAAACAUGGAAAGGAAGGGAGGUGAAAAGAGACAAUAGGAAAACCGUAGGCUCUGACGGGGAAAAAUGAAACAGAUGAGUGAGAAGAAAAGUCCAAGGGCCAGGAUGACGGCGCAGUGAUGGCUCACUUUGCGUUGCUGUUCCGUCGGCUGUUCCACUGACUGUGAACUCGGUCAGAGGUGACAGGUCUUGUUUAUCUUUAGAGGCAUCCCUGGUGGGUUACCCUCAGGACCUGAUGCACAGUUGGCAUCAGAAACUGUUUGCUGAAUGACUGAAAGAGCGUUCUCCUCUUAGUUUGAAACCUAUAGCUAGAUGUACUUGGAGAGCAUACAAAGACAUGCGUUUUCUUGAACAAAACACAAUAAAAAACUAAUAAGAGGUAUGGGGGACAUUGAAUAAGUAUGCAGGAAUUGGACUGGCCUGGACACACUCCCCUGGUGGCCUCAGCCACGUUGCAUCAUUUUUCCAAACCUCCAUUUCCUGUAGAAUGAGCGGAGGUGUGAAUUAGUGACAACAUACCGAAGGUAUCUGGCGCGUGGAUGGCAUUCCUUCCUGGCAGGUCAUCGCUCAGUAAAUAUUUGUUGAAUGAAUGAAUUGGGGAAAGAAUGGAGAGAAGAUCUUGGUCAUCUUCCUCUUAAAUUCCCAUAAUUGUUAGGGUCGUGUUGUUGCAGGAACUGCUGGGUGGUCUUGGUGGCAGGGGUGGGGAGGGGAUACAUCCCCCAGAACGCUCCAAGAUGGAUCCCAGAGAAAGCUCAGUCCGAGCACCCUCUCUGCAUCCAAACCCUAGUGCCUCCCCUUCCUGGGGCUUCCCUGCCUGUUGCUCCCCCUUCUAGCCACACUGAGCCCCAUCCUGGCAUUGGGUGGGCUUCUAGCUGUGGGCCAGGUGGCAGUGCCCCUCAAACAUAGCCUUGCUUCUACCCUGAGUAGGUCAUGGUGGAGUUGGGAUUCCCUACUCCCAGGGUGCAGCUGCUGGGACACAGGUUGGGGCAGCACUGGAAGCUCUAGGGGAUGAACCAGGGGUCUGGAUCCCAGCCACCCUGGGGAAAAAGGCAGGGGCUUCUUUGGGGAGAGCUGGUGCUGGGAGCUUGAAACCUGACGGCCUUCUGCAGGCCCCUGGGCCAUUGCCCAAUUUCCUAUACUUGUUCAUGCUUUCACAAACGCAUUUGUUCAUACAAUCUGCACAGAAUGCAGCAAGUAAGGCUUGAGUUCUGCCCUCCAGGGACUUGCAGUCUAGCGGGAGGAAUAAGACAAACUCUAUAAUCUAAGUUAGAAAUGAUGGGGCCAGGUGUGGUGGCUCAUACCUGUGAUCCCAGCACUUUUGGGAGGCUGAGGUGGGCAGAUCACCUGAGGUCAGGAGUUUGAGACCAGUGUGGCCAACAUGGUGAAACCCCGUCUUUACUAAAAAUACAAAAAUUAGCUGAGCGUGGUGGCGGGUGCCUGUAAUCCCAGCUACUCGGGAGGCUGAGGCAGGAGAAUCGCUUGAACCUAGGAGGCAGAGGUUGCAGUGAGCUGAGAUAGUGCACCACUGCACUCCAGCCUGGGUGACAAGAGCAAAACUUUGUCUAGAAAAGAAAUAAAAGUUAGAAAUGAUCAGUGCACUACACAGCACUGCUCCAGUGCCACAUGGGUUCUGAACAUGGAGGGAUCACAGGCAGCUGGGGGAAAUCUGAGAGGGCUUCUUGGAAGAAGUGGCAUUUUAUUUAUUUGGCAACAGCAUUUCCCGAGCACACCUCUUGCAGCUCCCUACUUCCUGCAAGCCUGGGGCUACCAGGUCUCUGCUCUUACGGAGCUUAUGAAACAGCAGAGGUGAGGUGCAGAGGCAGACAAUGAGCGAGCCAACAAGUACCUGGAAGGGACACUGUGCGGAGAGCAGUAAGUGCAGGGAAGGAAAGUGACCUGGGCUUUGACAAAUGUGUAGAGGCUGGUCCCUGGAGAAGAGGAGGCCGGGGCACCCCCGGCAGAGUGUAAUGAGGGAACAGGCAGGGAGGGGUGCAGGGGAGGGAAAGAGAGAGAAUCCAGGGAGGGUGAGUACGGUUGGAGUGAGCUUGGAUGCCAGGCUAAGGAAUCACCCGGUGAGCAGCGGGGAACCAGAGCAGGCUAUGGAGCAGGGGAGUGAGUGGCACGAUGAGAACCAGCUGUGCCUUAGGAAGCACAGCUGAGCAGCAGUUGUAGGGUGAGGCUGGAGGUGGAGAGACACCACAGGAGGGUCCUGUGUUGAGGGGGUGACCACUGGGAGUGUGUGGAGUCAUCUGAAUGGGGAGGGCAGGGGUCUUCCAGAGGGGUAAGGACCAGACAAAUGAUGCAGUGUCCAGGAGGUGAGAAGGGGGUCAGGGUACAGAUGCAGAAACAGAGUGGGGAGAUGCAGACAGCUAAGGAUGGAGCAUUUCAGCAACAGGACUGUGGCCGCCCUUCGGCUGCAUCUUUCCCAUUCUGAUCUUACCCAGGCUCAGGUACCCCAGGAUGG